AACGGAAAGGCCUGCUUGCAGGGUACUCGAGUGGCGAACGGGUGAGUAACACGUGGGUGAUCUGCCCUGCACUUCGGGAUAAGCUUGGGAAACUGGGUCUAAUACCGGAUAGGACCGCACUUUAGUGUGUGUGGUGGAAAGUUUUUUCGGUGUAGGAUGAGCUCGCGGCCUAUCAGCUUGUUGGUGGGGUAAUGGCCUACCAAGGCGGCGACGGGUAGCCGGCCUGAGAGGGUGUACGGCCACAUUGGGACUGAGAUACGGCCCAGACUCCUACGGGAGGCAGCAGAGGGGAAUAUUGCACAAUGGGCGCAAGCCUGAUGCAGCGACGCCGCGUGGGGGAUGAAGGCCUUCGGGUUGUAAACUCCUUUCGCUAGGGACGAAGCUUUUUGUGACGGUACCUAGAUAAGAAGCACCGGCUAACUACGUGCCAGCAGCCGCGGUAAUACGUAGGGUGCGAGCGUUGUCCGGAAUUACUGGGCGUAAAGGGCUCGUAGGUGGUUUGUCGCGUCGUCUGUGAAAUUCUGGGGCUUAACUCCGGGCGUGCAGGCGAUACGGGCAUAACUUGAGUGCUGUAGGGGUAACUGGAAUUCCUGGUGUAGCGGUGAAAUGCGCAGAUAUCAGGAGGAACACCGAUGGCGAAGGCAGGUUACUGGGCAGUUACUGACGCUGAGGAGCGAAA
rnacentral:rRNA from 1 species